rnacentral:rRNA from 1 species
UACGUAGGGGGCAAGCGUUGUCCGGAAUUAUUGGGCGUAAAGCGCGCGCAGGCGGUCCUUUAAGUCUGAUGUGAAAGCCCACGGCUCAACCGUGGAGGGUCAUUGGAAACUGGGGGACUUGAGUACAGAAGAGGAAAGCGGAAUUCCACGUGUAGCGGUGAAAUGCGUAGAGAUGUGGAGGAACACCAGUGGCGAAGGCGGCUUUCUGGUCUGUAACUGACGCUGAGGCGCGAAAGCGUGGGGAGCAAACAGG